rnacentral:rRNA from 1 species
AUUGAACGCUGGCGGCAGGCUUAACACAUGCAAGUCGAACGAGUGGCGGACGGGUGGGUAAUGCUUGGGAAUCUGGCUUAUGGAGGGGGAUAACGACGGGAAACUUUCGCUAAUACCGCGUACCAUAGGGUGAGCUCAAGGGGGAUUAGGUAGUUGGUGGGGUAAUGGCAUACCAAGCAGACGAUCUCUAGCUGGCCUGAGAGGAUGACCGGCCACACGGGGACUGAGACACGGCCCGGACUCCUACGGGAGGCAGCAGUGGGGAAUAUUGCGCAAUGGGGGAAAGCCUGACGCAGCCAUGCCGCGUGAGUGAAGAAGGCCUUCGGGUUGUAAAGCUCUGUUGGUGAAGAAGCGUUAUCCACAGAGAAAGCACCGGCUAACUACGUGCCAGCAGCCGCGGUAAUUC